rnacentral:lncRNA from 1 species
GUCUUUUCUGUGUUAUCGAAGGGCACCAGUAUGCAAGGGGAAGGGUGUUAGCUGCGAGGCAUUGCACACUUUGCAGCCUCCCGGGCCAAGCCCACGCUUCUUGCUGAAAUCCGCGGCUCGCCGGGAGCCUCCCGCUUCUUGGAAGCAGGGUCAGGAGUCGCUCUGGGGCUUCGGCGGCUCCUCCAGCUGCUCAAGCACAAUUCCAGGCAGCGCUGGCUGACAGGGACUUACUGGCCGCAGCUGCCACGGGACUCAGCCAGCAGAAAUGCAAAAUAUCUACAAAAAACUGCAGAAAACAGGACGGUCCCGGGCCCCUUGUGCUGGCCGCCGCAGUGAGAAUAGGUCUCCUCGCUUUUGGGGCUCCGCUUCUCCGUCCAUUUGAGACCCAAACACAAAAAGCCACUUGAUCAAGGGUAUUUUGCUGAAACUUUCAGGUUUUGCAGGGUAAACGCGCGUGCUGUACGAUGCAAUUAGUGGCGCUCUGUCCUACCCCCUCAGCACAUCACGAAACGUCCAUCGCGUUGCCGCGAUUGAAAUUCUGUGCUGAGACGUUCGCAGACAAAUGGAAAAAGAGCGUGCUCACCCAGAUGGAUAAAAAGGCCUCUGGUAAUGACAGACAAACUGUAUUACAGGACAGGAAUGUCAUGCAUGAUCAGCAAAACUGACAGUUCGGAGCUAGAUUGGCUCUCUGAAGCAUACCUCAGUAAUGACAAAUGGUAAAAGCAGGUGGAAACAGAUCUAUCCAGCUGCUGCAGCCGAGGGGAAGUUGGAAGUAGCCUGAAUCCAGCAGGUUUGUACAUGUUACGUGGAAAGUGGUUGCUUGUUCAGCUCACAGCGUUGAACAGCCCCUAUUUUCUUAAUGCUCUUUUAAUGAAAAAUCAGAUCUACGAGAACUUUCUCAUUCCUUCUGUUUUCAGAUUGCCUUUCAAGUGGUUCUUAGUUAUCUGAGAGGUCACUGUAAUGCCGGGCAAUUCAGAAAUAUAUGAGGCCCACUCAGAAAAUCUGUGUGAGGAAGGUAAAGGCUUUUGUUUUGCUAUGAAUGACUGCUGCAAAGGGAGUUCAUUC